rnacentral:rRNA from 1 species
GACGAACGCUGGCGGCGUGCCUAAUACAUGCAAGUAGAACGCUGAAGAGAGGAGCUUCCUCUUCUUGGAUGAGUUGCGAACGGGUGAGUAACGCGUAGGUAACCUGCCUUGUAGCGGGGGAUAACUAUUGGAAACGAUAGCUAAUACCGCAUAACAAUGGAUGACACAUGUCAUUUAUUUGAAAGGGGCAAUUGCUCCACUACAAGAUGGACCUGCGUUGUAUUAGCUAGUAGGUGAGGUAAUGGCUCACCUAGGCGACGAUACAUAGCCGACCUGAGAGGGGGAUCGGCCAAACUGGGACUGAGACACGGCCCAGACUCCUACGGGAGGCAGCAGUAGGGAAUCUUCGGCAAUGGGGGCAACCCUGACCGAGCAACGCCGCGUGAGGGAAGAAGGUUUUCGGAUCGUAAAGCUCUGUUGUAAGUCAAGAACGGGUGUGAGAGUGGAAAGUUCACACUGUGACGGUAGCUUACCAGAAAGGGACGGCUAACUACGUG